rnacentral:rRNA from 1 species
AGACAUCUCCUACGGAAGGCAGCAGUGGGGAAUAUUGGGCAAUGGGCGCAAGCCUGACCCAGCAACGCCGCGUGAAGGAAGAAGGCUUUCGGGUUGUAAACUUCUUUUCUCAGGGACGAAGAAAGUGACGGUACCUGAGGAAUAAGCCACGGCUAACUACGUGCC